UGCCCCACACAGGACAUUCCAAAAAGCCUCUGAGCAUUGCCUUCUUGAGCUCUGCCAGGCUUGGUGCUGCAGCCACUUCCCUGGGGAGUCUGUUCCAGUGCCCAAACACCCUCUGAGUGAAAAACCUUUACCUGCUAUUCAACCUAAACCUCCCCUGUGUCAGUUUCAUGCCUUUUCCUUGAGUCCUGUCACUGGUUACCACAGAGAUCUCUCUCUGCCCCUCCUGCUUGCCCUCAUGAAGAAGGAAGGUUUCACCUCAGUCUCCUCCAGGCUGAACAGACCAAGGGACCUCAGCCACUCCUCACACGGCUUCACCCCAAGGCCCUGCACCAUCCUUGUUACCCUCCUCUGCACACUCUCUAACAGCUCAAUGUCUUUUUUGUGUUGUGGCACCCAAAAGUGCCCCCAGCACUCGAGGGAAGCAGAAUCAUCUGGGAUCAUGAAGAAAAUGUGGAAAGUACAAAGGACACCAGUAAAUGGUGCCAGACUCUUUUCAUUGGUGCCCAGAGACAGAACAAGUGUACCUUAGAAGAAUUCGUCUUCUCUACACAUUGGUAUGUCAUUGAAGACAGCAACCAUUUCUGAAGUGCUCAGUACAAGAGACAUGGAGCUCCUGGAGUGGGUCCAGCAGAAGACUGUGAAAGUGAUUAAGGGGUGGAAGUAUGUCCCUUAUGAGGAAAGGCUGAGGGGGCAGGGUCCAUUCCACCUUGAUAGGAGGUGACUGAGAUGGGACCACAUCAAUGUCUAUGAGUAUCUAAAGGAAGCAUGUCAAGAGGAUGGAGCCAGAUUCUGCUUGGUGAUGCCAAGGAGUAGGACAAGAGGCAACAGGCAGAAACCAAUGCACAGAAGUUCCACCUGAACACGGAGAAGAACUUUACUGUGAAGUGACUGAGCACUGGAAGAGGUUUCCCAGAGGUUGUGGAUUCUCCCUGUCUGGAGGUAUUCAAGAAAAGCUGGAGACAAUCUUUUGCAAUGUGUUUCAGGCCUUGCUUGAGCGGGGACGUUGGACCAGAUGGGCCCACUGUGGUCUUUUCCAAUCUGACCCAUUCAGUGAUUCUGUUAACUAUUUCCCUCCAGCCUUUUCUUAUCUUGGUUAAACAUAUCCAGCUUCCUCAGACUCCUCAUAGGGUAUAUAGGCAUAGGAAGCAUCCAUACAUAUGUGUGUAUGUUAGAGUCUGGAGUGGAGUGGUGAGAUGUGGAAGAAAGGAAAUCCAAAAAAAAGGUCUUAAAGGAAAAAAGGUUAAAAAGGUCAGAGGAGAGAAACUGGAAAUAACCAGUUGUAUAGAAUCCUUCCCCCAUGGGGAAGGAUUAAAAGAACUGGAAUUGCAAGUCUCAAAGAUAAAAUUGAUAGGGGAAUGUAGUAGCAGUUUUCAAAUAUAUCAGAAAAAGGUAGACAAAGGAAGAGGGGAAUACCUUGUUCUCCACAUCAGUGGCAGUUAGAACAAGAGGCAAUGUACUUAAAUUGCAUGAGGGAGAAAGUUAGAUUAGGAAAAAUUUCCUAGGGAUAAGGAAGGUGAGGUACUAGAACCAAUUGAGUGGGGAGAUAGUAAAAUAUUCCUUACUGGAGAGUUUUUGAUACAGAUCUGUAUGGUUUGUCCUGUCAUGACAAUGUCAGAACAGCCUAGUAUUCAAGUCCCAUCUUCUGUGCUUUAUGUACAUGGCUGACUGAAGAACAUUUUUGCAGCCCAAAAAUUACGGCAGCUGAACAAGAGUAAAGGAUACUUAGUCUGAUAAUGUGCAUUAAUCAAAGCAAAUAUGUGUUGCCUUCAAGGUAGGGACUAGAAAAAUUUGAGGGGAAAUAAACCAUCAAGGUU